GGCGUCGUACCCAAGUGGUUUAAGGGACCGGUUUGCAAAACCGUUAUUCGUCGGUUCGAAUCCGACCGACGCCUC
rnacentral:tRNA from 1 species